CACGGGGGGAGCAAGCGUUGUUCGGAAUUACUGGGCGUAAAGGGCUCGUAGGCGGCCAACUAAGUCGGAUGUGAAAUCCCCAGGCUCAACUUGGGAACUGCAUCCGAUACUGGAUGGCUUGAAUUCGGGAGAGGGAUGCAGAAUUCCAGGUGUAGCGGUGAAAUGCGUAGAUAUCUGGAGGAAUACCGGUGGCGAAGGCGGCAUCCUGGACCGACAUUGACGCUGAGGAGCGAAAGCUAGGGGAGCAAACGGG
rnacentral:rRNA from 1 species